rnacentral:rRNA from 1 species
UUUAGCGUGGACACGACCGGCGCACGGGUGCUUAACGCGUAUGCAACCUACCUCUAACAGGGGGAUAGCCCCGAGAAAUCGGGAUUAAUACCUCAUAACAUUAUGUUAUCGCAUGGNAACAUAAUUAAAGCUCCGGCGGUUAGAGAUGGGCAUGCGUGACAUUAGCUGGUUGGUGAGGUAACGGCUCACCAAGGCGACGAUGUCUAGGGGUUCUGAGAGGAUGAUCCCCCACACUGGUACUGAGACACGGACCAGACUCCUACGGGAGGCAGCAGUAAGGAAUAUUGCGCAAUGGAGGCAACUCUGACGCAGCCAUGCCGCGUGCAGGAAGACGGCCUUAUGGGUUGUAAACUGCUUUUAUUUGGGAAUAACUCCCUGUUUGCGAACGGGGCUGAAGGUACCAAAUGAAUAAGCACCGGCUAACUCCGUGCCAGCAGCCGCNGUAAUACGGAGGGUGCAAGCGUUAUCCGGAUUCAUNGGGUUUAAAGGGUGCGCAGGCGGAUNAUUAAGUCAGUGGUGAAAUCCCGGGGCUCAACCUCGGAACUGCCAUUGAUACUGGUAAUCUUGAAUUCGGUUGAAGUGGGCGGAAUGUANCAUGUAACCGGUGAAAUGCAUANAGAUGCUACAGAACACCCGAUCGCGAAAGGCAGCUNACUAAGCCGAUAUUGACGCUCANGCACGAAAGCGNGGGGAGCGAACAGGAUUANAUACCCUGGUAGUCCANNCCGNAAACGAUGAUAACUCGUUGUUGG